rnacentral:lncRNA from 1 species
GGGCCUUACCCCGCCAGGCGCCGGAGUCCACGCUCCACCGCCGCUGAGGGGCGUUCGGGCGCCACCGAGCAGCCCAAAUUGAAACCCCGAGAGGCUCGGGACUAAAGCUGAAGGGGCAGGUAGAGGGGCCGCCCGGCGGUCCCAGACCAUCCUAGCAAAUCUGGGGCGAGGGAAGGGUUGUCAGUUGGCCGAUUGGGAGCGGCUUCGGGAGCGAAGGAGCUGCUUUUCGGCGAGGCCCCUCGGGAGUGAAGGUUCCUCGAAUCAAGCGUAAACUGGGGCCCCCUCUGGGAUGGUGUAAACUUAUUCAGCUUCAAAUGCAGCCCAGUAUCCUGCCCUAAGUUCCAGAGGACCAUUUUCCACAUGAAAAGUCUUACGGAUAGACAAACUUCCAUUCAAGCCAAUGUCAAGUUUUCAUUGCAAGAAAGUAGCAGCCGUGUUUAAGGGCUUGUUUCUGGCUAUGUUAAAGGACCAUCCUCUGAGGAAAGCAGAGGAGAGGAACUCCAUUAUCCUUACAGUGAAACGCAACCACUGCAGAAAAACUCCACUGAGUUCGCUCCAAAUGCUCAUCUUCUUCUUCGGCCCUGGAUGUCAGACAAACAGGACAAACAGGAAACAAAAUUAUUUUUCUUCGUGGAGGGCAGAGCAGCACUCCCCCGUCGCCCAGUAUUUGGAUCCCCAGCGGGAAUGGGGAGCACCAGGCCAGUGGGAGGCUGCCCCGGCCCUCCCGCGACCUCUGGAUUGAACUUUCCGCACACUUCUCGGCCCCUCGGCAGGUGGCCCAGCCUCGACCCGACCCCACUGCCCACUCACUGCUUCUCCUGCGCGUCCAGGUCCCUGACGAGCGCAUCGCGCUUGUUCACCAGGGCCACCAGCUCAUCUAGCAGAAGCUGUUCGCGUCGCUUCUGGGCCUCGGUCUUCUGCCAGUCUGCAGAAGACGGGAGGCUAGUUACCCACCGGCAGGGCCUCCGAACACCCGGCCCCCCGCCCUCCCCUUCCCGCCUUUUCCAGUUUCCUUAUAUUUCUCAGCAAACCACAUUAUAGAGCCACUAGCUAGUGUUUUCUGGGGAGUUUGGCUGUUGUGGUGAAGGCUUCCUCGCUAAAAGUCUACUUCCUAAACAGGUCCUGUGAAUGGAGAUGGCUGCAGCAGUGUUGGAACCUGCUUAGAACCAGGUGUGAACUGGUGGCUAGCCUGAGGUGCGCACCUGAAUCCAGCCAAAGUGGGGGAGGGGAGCUAGAGGCCCAGAAGAGGUUGGCCCAGGGGUUGGUAGUGGGGGAAGUGGGUAAAUGAGGAGGCGGGAAACAGUGAUGGGCGAUAAAAUCAUUCUGAAAAGGCUAGAGAAUCUGCCUGAGAACCUAUCCUCCUCCCCCACCCCCACUCUCACCCCAAACAGCCCAUUCUUCGCUAAUUUCCUCUUCGCUCUAUUUUAGCAGUUGGAUGUAUCUCACACUGGGCGCCAUAUGCUUCACAAUAACUUUAAAAGUAGUGAAUCGGCUAAUUAGCAUUUUUCUUUGAAGUAAAAAAUAAAUUUGCUCUGCAAUAUUACACUGCAGCUCUCGAUCGCAUCACAGCCAGUUUUCUUUUGGAGACGUUUGCUGGGUGGUUUCAAAUCAAAGCACUUUUGCAAAGGAAAAAUUACAUAUUUCUUUCUGAAACCCUAUGUUAAAGGUUGGAAAACCCGAUGGGCAGUGCUCUUUCCAUGGAUGGGGGGCGUUUUUUUUUUUUUUUUUUGAAGGUUUUAGACCCCAAUAAUAUAUUUCCUAAUCUUUGCUGGUCUGAUGAUUUCCUUAAGAUGAGCAGCAGUUUCAUUUAAUAGAAACAGGACCAAAUCGAACAUUUAAAACACUUUUGAAACCAAAGCCAACUGCUCUCUGGCCAGACUGUAAGGGCUUGUAGCUGUCAAUCAACCCCCAGUCUACCCCGCCUCCCUCAUUAGGAAGGUAAACAAUGAAAAGAAGAAGUAGAUGAUGAGGCAGAUAGCAGAACAAAUGAGGACCUAGAGGGAAACAGGACACCAGCUUAAAAAAA